rnacentral:rRNA from 1 species
AUUGAACGCUGGCGGCAGGCCUAACACAUGCAAGUCGAGCGGAUGAGGGUAGCUUGCUAUCUGAUUCAGCGGCGGACGGGUGAGUAAUGCCUAGGAAUCUGCCUGUAGUGGGGGGCAACGUUUCGAAAGGAACGCUAAUACCACAUACGUCCUACGGGAGAAAGUGGGGGAUCUUCGGACCUCACGCCAUCAGAUGAGCCUAGGUACGAUUAGCUAGUUGGUGAGGUAAAGGCUCACCAAGGCGACGAUCGUUAACUGGUCUGAGAGGAUGAUCAGUCACACUGGAACUGAGACACGGUCCAGACUCCUGCGGGAGGCAGCAGUGGGGAAUAUUGGACAAUGGGCGAAAGCCUGAUCCAGCCAUGCCGCGUGUGUGAAGAAGGUCUUCGGAUUGUAAAGCACUUUAAGUUGGGAGGAAGGGCAGUAAGUUAAUACCUUGCUGUUUUGACGUUACCGACAGAAUAAGCACCGGCUAACUUCGUGCCAGCCGCCGCAGUAACAC